AUGCUCGCUUUGGCAGCACAUAUACUAAAAUUGGAAUGAUGCUGAGAUUAUCAUGGCCCGUGCACAAGGAUGACAUGCAAAUUCUUGUAGCAUUCCAUAUUUUU
rnacentral:snRNA from 1 species